rnacentral:lncRNA from 1 species
GUGUUCGUAGGUUUGUGGAUGAAUGAUGCUGGUGGUGCCGCAGCGCCGUCAUCUUCAGCAGGUCUCAAGGAGUGCGAGGGAGUUGUGCGUAUUAUUUUAGUGUCUUCUCAAAAUUACAAUCCUUCAGCAUCAGAGGAAUGUAAUAUGAAUUCCCAUUCAUCACACAAAUGCAUGCUUCCUACACUGACUUUCAAAUUAUUUUCAAAGUUCAUAAAGUUUGUAAUUACUAUUUUUCCAAUAAUGAUCUUAGUACAAGUGUGUGAUGAAUUGAAAUAAAUGUAGUGGGUUUUGAAUUCUCUAUGUGUUUAAAACAGCACUUAGAGUUUGUAUUAGUUUGUAUUGGUUUGUGUUUCAAACUAGUAUGCACUAAAAGGUCACUACACUUUCGAACAAACAAAACUGACAAAACUUCUAUUUUAAAUUUUCAUAUGAUGGUUACAUUCAUAUAUAC